rnacentral:rRNA from 1 species
GAUGAACGCUGGCGGCGUGCUUAACACAUGCAAGUCGAGCGAUGGAGUUUCCUUCGGGAAACGGAUUAGCGGCGGACGGGUGAGUAACACGUGGGUAACCUGCCUCAUAGAGUGGAAUAGCCUUCCGAAAGGAAGAUUAAUACCGCAUAAUGUUGAAAGAUGGCAUCAUCAUUCAACCAAAGGAGCAAUCCGCUAUGAGAUGGACCCGCGGCGCAUUAGCUAGUUGGUGGGGUAACGGCCUACCAAGGCGACGAUGCGUAGCCGACCUGAGAGGGUGAUCGGCCACAUUGGGACUGAGACACGGCCCAGACUCCUACGGGAGGCAGCAGUGGGGAAUAUUGCACAAUGGGGGAAACCCUGAUGCAGCAACGCCGCGUGAGUGAUGAAGGUUUUCGGAUCGUAAAGCUCUGUCUUUGGGGAAGAUAAUGACGGUACCCAAGGAGGAAGCCACGGCUAACUACGUGCCAGCAGCAGCCGUAAGAC